GACGAACGCUGGCGGCGUGCUUAACACAUGCAAGUCGAACGGAAAGGCCCUGCUUUUGUGGGGUGCUCGAGUGGCGAACGGGUGAGUAACGCGUGAGUAACCUGCCCUUGACUUUGGUAUAACUUCAGGAAACUGGGGCUAGUACCGGAUAGGAGCUCCUGCUGCAUGGUGGGUGUUGGAAAGUUUCGGCGGUUGGGGAUGGACUCGCGGCUUAUCAGCUUGAUGGUGGGGUAGUGGCUUACCAAGGGUUUGACGGGGAGCCGGCCUGAGAGGGUGACCGGCCACAUUGGGACUGAGAUACGGACCAGACUCCUACGGGAGGCAGCAGUGGGGAAUAUUGCACAAUGGGCGGAAGCCUGAUGCAGCAACGCCGCGUGCGGGAUGACGGCCUUCGGGUUGUAAACCGCUUUCGCCUGUGACGAAGCGUGAGUGACGGUAAUGGGUAAAGAAGCACCGGCUAACUACGUG
rnacentral:rRNA from 1 species